CGCACCUUGGUCUUAUCAUCACAUCCGAUUCAAGAUGGAACGAACCUGUGUCGUAUACUGAGAAAAAGGCUUUGAAAAUACUAAGCUACCCAAAACGGGCACUCGCUAAGGCAUCCGGUGAACCUAAAUGACUGCAUGGGAAACCUGGAGCAUAUUGACACAACAAACUGCAAAAGAAAGUCCAGAGAAUCAACAAAGCCAGAGGACUUGCAUUUAUGCUGCCUUUAAAAACACAUUUGAAGAAUUACAUAUAUUACACCUUACGAAGGAAAACUUUAGAGUUGUGUCGACACGGCCGUACGGUAUGCCGACGUAGAACGGUUGCCAUAUAUGUCUGUAUGAAUUAUCUUGAUAAAGGCCGAUCGCAAGUGAAACACCAACAUUUCGUGCGUUUUCAACAUGAACUAGCUCAAAGCAUCGGUAACUGCCAGAAAUAUUGACUUACAAGACAUAUAUAUGAACACUCAACAAACCUGCAUGCGUUGGAAACAACAAACUGAAGUGAAUUAAAGUCCGAAACGCUACUUUGAGGUGAGGGUUUCUCAGUCUUUCAUCUCGACAGCAUUCGAUAAAUAAAUGCAAAUUCAGCGUCUUA